GGAGGGGGAUAACUACUGGAAACUGUAUCUAACCCCUCAAAAUCUCGCGAGACCAAAGAGGGAGACCUUCGGGCCUCUUGCCAUCAUAUGCGCCCAUAUGAGAUUAUCUAGUGGGUGGGGUCACGGCUCACCUAGGCGACCAUCUCUAUCUGGUCUGAGAAGAUGACCCCCCACUCUGGAACUGACACACGGUCCACACUCCUACGGGAGGCACCAGUGGGAAAUAUCGCACUGUGAGCGCACGCCUGAUGCACACAUGCCGUGUGUAUGAAGAAGGCUUUCGGGUUGAAGUGUAGUUUCAGCGGAGAAGAAGGUGUAGAUGUUAAUCACCACCGCUAGUGACGUCACCCGCAAAAUAAGCACCGUCUAACUCUGUGCGAGCAGCCGCGGAAAUACAGAGGGUGCAAGCUUAAAUCAGAAUUACUGGGCGUAAAGCGCACACACGCUGUCUGUCAUCUCAGAUGUGAUAUCCCCGGGCUCAAUCUGAGAACUGCUUUCGAACUGGUAGGCUAGAGUCGUGUAGAGGGGUGUAGAAUUCGAUGUGUAGCUGUGAAGUGUGUAGAGAUAUGGAAGAAUACCUGUCGACAACGCCGCCCAGUGUACAAACACUGACUCUAAUGUGCAAAAGCGUGGUGAAAAGACGAGAUUAGAUACAGUGGUAGUACACGCCAUACAAUAUGUCGACUUGGAUGUGUGCCCUUGACGCGUGUCUUUCAGAUAAACGCUUUAACUCCACUUCUGGAGAAUAGCUCGCAGGGAUAAACUCAUAUUAUUCACGGGGCCCGCAAAUGCGGAGGACAUGAGCUUAACUCCAUGCUCGCGCAGAACUUCUUUACUCUCGAAUGCAGA
rnacentral:rRNA from 1 species